GACGAACGCUGGCGGCGUGCUUAACACAUGCAAGUCGAACGGAAAGGCCCUGCUUUUGUUGGGUGCUCGAGUGGCGAACGGGUGAGUAACACGUGAGUAACCUGCCCUUUACUUUGGGAUAACUUCAGGAAACUGGGGCUAAUACCGGAUAGGAGAUACUGCUGCAUGGUGGGGGUUGGAAAGUUUCGGCGGUUGGGGAUGGAAUCGCUGCUUAUCAGCUUGUUGGUGGGGUAGUUGCUUACCAAGGCUUUGAAGGGUAGCCGGCCUGGGAGGGUGACCGGCGACAUUGGGACUGAGAUACGGCGCAGACUCCUACGGGAGGCAACAGUGGGGAAUAUGGCACAAUGGGGGGAAGCCUGAUGCAGCAACGCCGCGUUCGUGAUGACGGCCUUCGGGUGGUAAACCGCUUUCGCCUGUGACGAAGCGGUAGUGACGGUAAUGGGUAAAAAAGCACCGGCUAACUACGUG
rnacentral:rRNA from 1 species